UGAGCCUGUAUGCGAAGUUGUUCCGUCGGAGGCCGAACAGGAUUUACAAGUGUGAUCCGAUUGCUGAGGAUGUGGAGCUCGGGACGCUGGCUUUUCCCAUGGUGCUUGUUCAGAUACCCAUGUACAAUGAGAAAGAGGUUUACCAGUUGUCCAUCGGAGCUGCAUGCAACCUUUCAUGGCCGGCUGAUCGGAUCAUCAUACAAGUGCUCGACGACUCAACUGACCCAAUUGUCAAGGAAUUGGUGCAAAAAGAAUGUGAGAAAUGGAGGAAACUGGGCAAGAACGUAAACUAUGAGAGGAGGAACAACAGAAAUGGCUACAAAGCAGGAGCCCUAAAGGAGGGGAUGAAAUAUAGCUAUGUGAACACAUGUGAAUAUAUUGCAAUGUUUGAUGCAGAUUUCCAACCAGCACCCGAUUUUCUCCAAAGAACCAUGCCAUUUCUUGUUCAUAAUCCUGAAGUGGCUCUUGUCCAAGCGCGUUGGAGGUUCGUGAAUGCCAAUGAGUGUUUAAUGACAAGAAUGCAAGAGAUGUCUAUGGAUUACCACUUCAAGGUGGAGCAGGAAUCUGGUUCAUCGACCUUCAGUUUCUUUGGUUUCAA
rnacentral:misc_RNA from 1 species